rnacentral:rRNA from 1 species
AAGACGGCCCUACGGGUUGUAAACUGCUUUUGCAGGGGAAUAAACCCCCGUACGUGUACGGGGCUGAAUGUACUCUGGGAACUAAGGAUCGGCUAAACUCCGUGC